ensembl:lncRNA
AUGGAGUUCUUAUUACCUGUUAAGUUUUGGACCUAAACGUUGAUCUCUUCAAAAUCACGGUUACUAAUCUCAGCACUGCCUUUGCUCUCUUCCAGCUUCAAUCCAUAUGCAUCUCAGAAUGGAACAUGCCAACCCCAAGGAGGCCAUCCUCAUCCACCCAAAGAUGCUGUCCCCCAACUCCUCUGGUCGCUCAUCUAAAGCCCUCGGCAGCUGUGGCUGUGGCUGCUCCCGAGGACAUUCAGACAUUCAUUCAGGUUCAGGAGGACACUCUUGUCUUUUGUUUUUGCCACUGUACCACGUCGUCACAACCAAGUGCCAAACUCUUUGCCUUUGAACUUCAGAGCCAAAAUUGAUGUGCACUGUUAAUGUUGCCUUCUCGCUGCAGUUGAUGAUUCAUAAUACCAGUGGAUCGCACUCUGAGGAGUGUUCUGUUUUUUGGGGUUUAUUUUUACAAUUGCAACACACGCAAACAUACACACACACACACACACACACACACACACACACUUUCUCUCUCUUACACACACACAUACAUAAACGACACAAAUGCACACAAAUGCCUCCUGAAGAGACAUGCGUCUCAGUGGGAGAUCAUUUUUAUACUGAUUGAUAUAAUAGCUGAAAGAUCUGCUUUCGAGGCCUUUCUCACACCAGCUCUUAAAAUCACCCACAGUGCCCCAGGUCUACAACAAGCACCCACUGAAAGAAAAUGACAUUCCUUUCAGUUUCCUGUCAGGACGUUAAGCUCACCAGUCGGAUCGAUCAGUCCACAUUCACUUCUCAUGAACCCCCCCUUUAUCUAGCCGCCUUCAGGCACUACUGUCGAGUCAGAGCCUUCCAGGUGUAGCGUUCCCUAGAGGAACAGUCACAGAAGUUCUAGAGUUUGAGGGCUUCUGGAAGGAGAACUGGAAUAUGUUGGAGGGUGCUGAAGGAAGGGUUGGCAUUGCCUCGAUAUGUGCCACUGCCAAGGGCCGGGUUUGGCCAAAAAGCCCUCGCUGCCUGGAAGUUAUGCUGUGUCUGAGUCUGGGCCAGAUCUGUUUCAGAGUCAGUGUCUGUCAGGGAGGCCUCUCAAGCUACGUUGUCAUGAUGAUUUUUUUAUUUUAUUUCGUUGGUUGUUCUCAUAGUUAGACAUUUCUUUGAUUUUGUUUUUGUUUGUUUGUUGGUGUUGUGUCGCUUUUUUUUGGGCUUGGCUUGGACACGUUAGAAGGAGGAGUGUUUUUACUAGGUCAUGUACAGAACGUUUACAUUGUGCGAGCAACAGUUAGACAUGUCUUUUUUUUUUUUUUUUGGGAAAGAAGAACUGGAUUUUCAGUGGACUUAUUCUCACACUUUGAGGGUGCUUCUCAGUUGGACUUGACCUGGCUGUUUCCAUAUUUCUUGUAAAUACCUACAACACACACACACAUAUAUUGAAAACGUAAAGUAGAUAUAUAUUGAGAUUUUUAUUAUUGUUGUUGUUGUUAUUUUUGUUUUGAUUCAGCUGCAAAUUCUGCACGCACACGUCGCAAGUGUUCUGUCUGUUCUGAGUAGAUUCUAAGCAGAGUAAAGCCUUAUCGUUAUUAAUAUUAUUCUGGCGAAUGUAGUAGUUCUGAACUACUGACUGGAAGCUGGCUUGGCCACUGCAGAUAUGAGGGUGUCACUCCCUCGAAUCUGUGGAGAAAGUCAAACUUCCCUCCCUUUAAGAAGGCUUUGAGGGAACGGUUUGCUUUUCUGACGUCUAUUUAUUUGGUGGAAGGAGAUUUCAUAUGUUCGUAGUAUGCCUCAGUUUAACACGUAGACGUGCUCGUUACUAUAUUUCUCCCCCCUUCCGGGAGCCGUGACGCGAAACGUGCCGGCGUCGUUGACGUGAUUCGUUUUUCCUUAUAUGAGCUGCCUUUUUUCAAACGUUUAGGUGAUUGUGUCGACGUAGCUCUGGAGAGGGUUUGUGGUUUUGUUCGGAUAGUCUGCAGUAACCCUUCUACCUCUGUCAGGCUUUCCAUCCUCUGUUCUCGCUGCCUUAUAUCAUAUUCCCCACCCACUCUCCACCUCCCUGUCUGUCUCCUCUGUUCCUGCUGUCACCGAAUUUAACACAUUUGCUAAUCUAAUGAUGCGACCAUGAUCCCACUAAUUACUUUGGCUUCUGUCGUUAAUUAAGGAUUAAUCAACUCUCGCUCCUUAGUGCCUCUCAAGAGCCAGAGAAAGUGUUACCCAAAAGCUGACAAGCCUUGUACAUCGCAACGUGUUGCCUUUUAAAGUGCUCUUCGUCGGCAAAUACAUAUCUAAGACCCUAACAAUCAAGUGAUGACAUCAUACUAAGGAGCCACCUCAAGAAUGAUCUUGUUUAGACACCUCCCAUGUAUGCAUUCUCUAUGCAUGGUGCAAAUAAUGGGCAAGACAUUGUGCAGUUGCUCAAAGUUAGAGAGCAGAAGAACUCACACUGAUACUUAUACAACCACAGUCAAGAUAUAUUUAAAGUAGUAAAGCUAUGAAGAGAGGAGAGUGGAGAGAGGAGGAGGAGGAAAAUACUGUCGUAACUCUUUUGCAAAUGCCCUGAGCAGUCCUGAUCUUGCUUGGCUGUGGGUUUGGCCCUCAGCUGUGGGAUCAGAUAUUGACAUUGACAUUUAGGUUAAGUCGUGAAAAUGUCUUCUCUGGAGGUUGUUAUUGAAGCGAGCCACACUCACCCGACUAACUGAAUUCCCGAUAGCUCAUCGUCAGUGUAAAUAACGGCCUUUCAUUUAAGCGCUGCAGCUGGUAGAGGAGAUUGAAGUCAUUGAGGUUCCUGUCCAGUGUCUGUCCAUGUUGUACCGCUAAGCUCAGAGAAAGCCAGAGCAAACUCACACAUGAAUCCUUCUUUGUAAAUUAUAUGUGCAGGUCACUCAUUUCACCAUAAUCAUUCUAUCAUCCAAUGUCAAUUUUAAAAGGAUGCUUAAAAAUAUAUAUUAUUAUGCUAUGUAUUAAGAAGUGUACAUGAUUGCUUUGUGAAAUUUGCAAGUGAUCAUACCUAUGCAUUUUCAUACUUUAAUUUUUUUUUUUUUUUUGGCUCUCUGUUUUUCUGUAUUUUGUUUUUACUGAUUAUAUCAAAUGUUUUAUGUAUUAUAGCAUUGUGGAGAUGUUAUGUCAUUGUCAUAAAAUGUUGGUUUCAAAUAGUUAUUUGAGAAAAAAGAUAUGAAGUAUAUUUAGAACUAGAUUUACAUGCUUUUUUGUAAACUGACACUGUUAUCCUUGUAUUCAGCAGCAGUUUGUAGGAAAAAUAGAAAACAAAAAAAUACAUCAACUUAUUGUCUAAGUACAGAAUUGGAAAAAAAAAUAUUAUUGUUCAGAUGGUGGAUUUUGGACCAAUUUUUUAGAAGAGAAAAUAUAAAUUUAAAUAUUGCACUUUUACCUUAACAUACAUUUUAUAACAUGUUCCUCAUAGAGAAACUAAGAAGUGAAUCCAUGAGUUAUUUUCAAAGCAAACUGUUACAUUUUAUUAACUUAUACACAGAAAUGAAUCGAUUUUCAAUCAGAAAUAUAUAUAUCACACAAUGUGCAAUUUGUUUAUGUAUUAGACAAAAGAGAAUAUCUGAAACAUCUACAUAACAUCAAGGGGUAAGGAGGAGAGAAGGAACGUUGCCGUUUUGAAAUGAUUUGACUGACGUGAUGAUGUUGAUGUGUAUCUACCAUUCUAUUUCCUUAUUGAAGCUUUUUGGCAGUUAGCAAGAUAGAUUUCUGUCAGGUGGCCAUGACGUGUAACAUAUUUACCAGAACGCCUGUGAGGUCGCUCCUUAAAUCAGAAGCCUGAUGCACUUGUACCAUGAUGCAAGAACAGAAUUAUGUUGCCGCUGUAUGAAGCCAUAUGUGUACAUAAAUUAUGUUACAUAAAGAUCGUCAUUCUUCGUUUAUCGUUUAUUCUCCGCCUGCGCUGGUUUGUUUACUUGGUCUGUAUGCACGUGUAUC